CCAGGUUCAAGCGAUUCUCUUGCCUCAGCCCCCCAAGUAGCUGAGACUACAGGCACCUGCCACCUUGACCAGAUAAUUUUUGUAUUUUUGGUAGAGAUGGGGUUUCACCUUAUUGGCCAGGCUGGUCACGAACUCCUGACCUUGUGAUCUGCCCACCUCGGCCUCCCAAAGUGCUGGGAUUACAGGCGUGAGCCACCGAGCCGGCCUAUUUUUUAAAUGAUAUUUAUUUUUAACUAUUACUACCACUGGAUAAACAUAUCCAGAAGACAAUAUUUUGUUCAAAUGUCAGUCAUUGAUGUGAACCACGUAGGAAAGAAAUUCAGGGAGAGGUGUGAAAAUUAGAAUUAGUCAGAAGUUUUAAAGAUAUAGUUAUCCCGGCCAGGCACGGUGGCUCACGCCUGUAAUCCCAGCACUUUGGGAGGCUGAGGCGGGUGGAUCACACGGUCAGGAGUUCAAGACCAGCCUGGCCAACAUGGUGAAACCCUGUCUCUAUUGAAAAUACAAAAAUUAGCCCAGCAUGGUGGCGGGCACCUGUAGUCCCAGCUACUUGGGAGACUGAGGCAGGAGAAUUGCUUGAACCUGGGAGGCGGAGGUUGCAGUGAGCCAAGAUCAUGCCACUGCACUCCAGCCUGGGCGACAGAGCAAGAUCUGUCUCAAAAAAAAAAAUUUAUAUAUAUAGUCAUCUCUUGGUAUCUGUGGAAAUACCCUGUGGGGAUAUCCCUGGGAUACCAAAAUUCAAGGAUGUUGAAGUUUCCUAUAUAAAAUGGCAUAUUUGUAUAUAACCUACACACAUCCUCAAGUAUACUUUAAAUAAUCUCUAUUAUAAUACCUAACACAUUGUAAAUGUUAUGUAAGUAGUUGUCAUACUGUAUUUAGGAGACAAUGACAAGGAAAAAAGCCUGUUCACGUUUAGCACAGACACAAUUUUUUAUUUAUUGAGUAUUUUCGAUACGUUGGUUGAAUCAGAGAUGCGAACCCAUGGAUACGAAAAUCUGACUAUAUUUUUAAAUUGUGCUUGAAUAGAUAAAACAUUCACAUGAUUCUAAAUUCAGAAUGCUCAAACAGAUUUAUAGGAAACAUUCUUUCUCUCAACCUUGCUCACAGCUAUCCAUUUUCUUUUCCCAGAGGCAACUAAUGUUAUAAGCUUGUGAUAUAUCCUUAUAGAGAUAUUUGAUGUAUAUAUUCACAUAUAUACAUGUUUAUUAUAUAUAUUUCCCCUGUUCUACAAAGAUGAUAAAAUAGUAUAUAUAUUAAUGAACCUUCUCAUAAUGUAAGUACACAGCCAUUUUCCAGAGUUGUGUUUACUGAAAAUUACUACAUCAACAGGACAUAACACAUAAUGUGCUUUACCAUAUGGUAGCCACUAGUGACAUGGGGAUAUUUAAAUUUAAAUUAAUUACAUAAAAUAAAUUCAGUUCCUCAGUUGCAUUAGCCACAUUUUCAUGUGCUCAGUAGCCACAUGUGGCCAGUGACUGUGUUGUACAAUUCAGAUAUAGAACAUUUUCAUUAUCACAGCAAGUUGUUUUGGACAGUCCUAAUAUGGUGGAUUAAAGUAAUCCUAGUCUCUCUUUAAUAUUUGAGAGUGUCUUUACAGUGUACAGCAUAAGAGUGCCUGGUUUCUGUUGUUGGAGGCAGGAGGAUAAAAUUCUGGCUUAGCUCUUAGAAAUGUAUCAAUACAAAUAGCUCUUGGGCUAUAACUUAAGGCUACCAACUGGUAAGUGUUACUUUCAGCAAAUAAAUUUCUCAUGUUCAAAAUGAAGAGUUUGAAUUUGACUUCCUCUCAUUCAAAUGCAUAAUAUACAUUCUGAACAUUAGGGAACAAUUGAAUCAUACAAAAGUGUUCUUGAACCAUCAAAAUUUCUUACCCAAGUUCAUAAAUUAUGUUUCUGAAUGUUCAUGUCAGUUUAUCUUGUGGCCCAGCAAAGGGCUAAAUAAGUAUGAUACCAUUCAUCACAUAAAGGUCUCAGAGAACAAAAUAUGGGAUUGGUGGGCCCAGGUGGUGAGAAAGGAAGGAGUUGCGGGUUUAUCACACUUUAUACAAGAAGUAAGUUCCUGGGCCAGGCGCGGUGGUUUACACCUGUAAUCCCAGCACUUUGAGAGGCCAAGGAGGGCGGAUCACGAGGUCAGGAGAUGGAGACCAUCCUGGCUAACACGGUGAAACCCCGUCUCUGGUAAAAACACAAAAAAUUAGCCGGGCGUGGUGGCACGUGCCUGCAGUCCCAGCUACUCAGGAGGCUGAGGCAGGAGAAUCGCUUGAACCCAGCAGGCGGAGGUUGCAGUGAGCCGAGAUUGCGCCACUGCACUCCAGCCUGGGUGACAGAGCGAGGCUCCGUCUCAAAAAAAAAAAAAAAAGAAAGAAAAAUAAGUUCCUGGACAUUGUGUAAAUUAAAUAUUUCUAAAUCUAUAAAUUAAAUAUUUCUAAAUCUAUUUUUAGAUGCACUAGAAGAGUUCACAAUUUAAAGAAAUCCUCCUGUAAUGUAUGAUUAUUUAUAUUUUGUUAAAUCCUAUUUAAAAGAGAUUUUAUAAGAUGACUUCUAGAUUACUCCUGGAACUAUGGCAGAUCAUGUUGAGGUUAAAAGAGCAUUAAGGGAUUGGAUGAUAGAUGGUCUAAUAUCAUCACUGCUUGAAGUUCCAAGGAAUUACUCAAACUGAUCCAAUUUCCUUAUGACAUUUUCUAUAUGGAUUGACAGCCCAUGUCAAUUAUUGAAUAUUUACUAUAUACAAGCUAUGAUAUACUAGAUGCCCGUGAGGCCCUUCUUAGAAGAAGGAAGAUGAUGGCAGUGUUGUCAACCAGAUAAUCAUUCCUGAUGGUCAAGGUGGGGGAUGUCCCGUCCUGAUAAUCCCCUCAUCCAAUAACCAGGACAGAAUUACUCAUGGCUGUGGUAUCUUGUCCUUCCUGAGGUCAAUAAGGCCUGCCUUGAUCAGAACCAAGCAAUUGUUUAUCCAUCAUGGGCCAGUGAUUUCAAGUAUAGAAGAUGCUGGGACCCUAAUUUGAGUCCACUUAAUGGGAGGUAUCCUGGGAAAUGCCCAUAAUUAAUUUGUGUUUGCUUUUCCAGGUUUCCUUAAGCUUCCUAAGUUUCAUAAUGUAUAAGAUAUUUACAGAAUUCCUAAAUUUUUGUAAACAUGCUGUUAUUUCUCCCAUCUUAGAAAAACAGACUAAAACAUCACAACCACGCCCCCACACACAAAAUGCGUAAAAACAAAAAAAUCCUUCACUUAGUUUCUUAUUUCUUUACUUCCCUUCACAGCAAAACUCAAAGGAGUUGUCUAUAUUUGCUGCCUCUCUUUCCUUUUCUCUGAAACCCAUUCCAAUCAGGCUUUUGUCACUCUCUCCACUAACCCUGUCCUUGACUUCCAUACCACUAAAUACAAUUGUCAAUCUUAGGUUGUCAUCUUACUUGAUCUGUCAGCAGCAUUUGACACAGUGAAUCUGGCUUCCAGAAUUCUACUUUCUGGGUUCUCCACCAACCUCUGUGGCCACUCCUUUUCAGUCUUUUUUUUUUUUUUUUUUUUUUUUUGUUGAGAGAGUCUCGCUCUGUUGCCAGGCUGGCUACAGUGCAGUGGCAUAAUCUUGGCUCACUGCAACCUCCACCUCCCGAGUUCAAGCGAUUCUUCCACCUUAGCCUCCCUGGUAGCUGGGACUACAGGUGUGCAUCACUUAAUUUUUGUAUUUUUAGUAGAGACGGGGUUUCACCAUGUUGGCCAGGCUGGUCUCGAACUCCUGGCCUCAAGUGAUCUAUCUGCCUCGGCCUCCCAAAGUGCUCAGAUUACAGGUGUGAGCCACCAUGCCCGGCCUUCAGUCUCUUUUUGUAGGUUUCUCCUCAUUUCCAUUACCUCCAAACAUUGGCAUAUCCCAGGACUAUGUCUUUUCUUUGUCUAUAUUCAUUCACUGAGUGAUUCAGUCCCAUGGCUUUCCAAAAAAAAAAAAACAUUUAUUGAAACCUUGAUUCUCUACCUUGAAUCCCAGACUCAAAUGUCCAGUUGCCUACUUGACAUCUCCAGGUUUGUGAGAUAGGCAUUCCAAUAUGCUGCCGAUGGGAGUGUGAAGUAGGCCUAGCUAUGUGGGGGGUACUAUAGCCGAAGAUGUUAAAUGAGUCUGGAAAAAUAUGUCUGGGCAUGGUGACCCAUGCCUGCAGGUCUAGCACUUUGGGAGGAGGUGGUGGGUGGAUUGUUUGCUUGCGGCCAGAAGUUACCAGCCUGGUCAAUAUAGCAACGCUUUGUCUCAAAAAAAAAAAAAAAAAAAAAAAGAGUCUGGAAAAUAGCCAUGUCCUUUGACCUAUUUAUUCCACUUCUAGAAAUACAGCCUAAUAAUACAGUCUUUGGAGGCAUUUUUGGCAGGAUAUUUAAUACAGUAAAAUGCUUAUGAUAGAUAGAGAAAAAUGUAAAAAUAUACAUCUUGGGCUGAGCGUGGUGGCUCACGCCUGUCAUCCCAGAACUUUGGGAGGCCAAGGCAGGAGGAUUGCUUGAGCCCGGGAGUUCGAGACCAGCCUGGCCAACAUGGUGAAACCCGGCCUCUAAGACAAAGACAUACAAAAAUCAGCCGGGCGUGGUGGCACGCACCUGUAGUCCCAACUAUUUGGGAGGCUGGGGUGGGAGGAUCACUUGAGGUGGGAGGAGGUGGAGGUUGCAGUGAGCCAAGAUGAUGCCACUGCACUCCACCCUGAACAACAGAGGAAGACCCUGUCUGAAAAAGAAAAGAAAAGAAUAUACAUCUUGCAGUUCAAGUUGUUACUGCUAAGGUUUGAGAUUGGAGUGGGACAUAAAAAACAUUUUUAUGAACAGGUAUUACUUUUUUAAAUUUUAAAAAGUGCUUAAGAUUCAUUUUCUAGUGAAAAAACAGGAUACAUAACUAUAUUCAGAAUAAUUUCAAAGUUGUGUACAUAGAGAAAGGAUUGAAAGCAAAUACACUAUUAACAAUUUCAUACGUGGAUAAUUUUUAUCUUCUCUCUUUUUCUGUCAUUUACAGAUUUUCCACAAUGAGUUUGUCUUUUAUAAUAAAAAGUUAAUUUAAAAGGACAAGCAAUUCAGGCUGGGCGCAGUGGCACACACCUGUAAUCCCAGAACUUUGGGAGGCUGAGGUGGGUGGAUCACCUGUGGUGAAGAGUUCAAGACCAGCCUGGCCAACAUGGUGAAACCCCAUCUCUACUAAAAAUACAAAAAUUAGCCGGGCAUGGUGGUGGACACCUGUAAUCCCAACUACUCGGGAGGCUGAGGCAGGAGAAUCACUUGAACCCAGGAGGCGGAGAUUGCAGUGAGCUGAGAUCACACCACUGCACUCCAGCCUGGGCGACACGGCGAGACUCUAUGUCAAAAGAAAAGAAAAGAAAAGAAAAGAAAAGAAAAGGACAAGCAAUUCUUCAAUCUUGGGAUAAAUGAAGACAUUGAUUGGAGUGUCAUAAAACUAAGAUGUGAGAAUUUUUGAAUUAGAAUUUUAAUUUUAAUACCUACUUUCAAGAGGAGGUAAGAACCAAAAGUUUUAAAGGGAAAAGACUGAAGAUGAGCAUGUUUCUUUGAAUUAUAAAACUUGGGUUUAAUACCACUAGACUCUAAAUUUCCAACCCUAGUAAUAUGGAAUAUGCUGUUGGAACUCAACGUGGUCGUUUGCUUAACUUUUUGUUGAUAUAAUCUGAAAUGAUAUUAAAUCUCACUGUGGAGCAUCAUAAAAACAACCUAUUUGUCAGAGAAGAGUAGGACAAUUGUCCUAUUAAAUUGGAAAACUGAAAAAGAAAAUUUAAAAACAGACUUCCAUUAUUGCAUUCAUAUGACAAAUACUUUUUGAGUGUCUGUGUCACUGGGCACUGUACUACCUUGUAACUACCUAGGCAGUCGGGGUAGGGAAUCCUCCUUGGGGAAGUACCCUUUGUAAGGCCAGGCACAGAGAAAAAGGAGGGUAAAGAGUGUGCUAGGUAAUAGGUAGAGGACAUGUACAAAUAGAUGGCUACUGAUUUUCAGUUGAUAACUAUGUCUAAUUAGGUGAAUACCAUCUUAUUCUAGCAAGAGUAUCAGAGUGCGUUCAUUCCUGAGGACCCUUUCCCUGGUGUUGAAACAAAUUAUCUCUAGCCUUCAGUACGAAAUAAAUUCCCUUUUGCUACAUUUCUGCCAAAUCUGAAGAAUCACAAUGGAUGAGUCUCAUGCCUAUUUCAAAAUGGUAUAGAGUCUCUGGGGGUUCAGUAUAUUUAACUUGUUUCCUCAUAAGUGUGACUUCAAGAUAUUGUUUCAUGCUGGAAUUGUAAAUUGUGAUUUAUCCAUUCUCUGUAGAAAUAUUAAAUAAAUCUGAAAAAACUCCAAAACCCAUUUUUAUUGUAAUUUUUCUUACUGCAUUUUAGAUACAGCUUUAAGAUUAUUUGCUAAGAGAUGAAAGGAAAGGUGGGUGUUAAACUCAGAUUGAAGCAAUUUAAAAUGUUACAGGCAGUUAUAUUUGAUAUAGAACUUCUCAGUUUAUUAUAAAUGGAAUAAGGUUG
rnacentral:lncRNA from 1 species